AUGUAAUGUCUUGGCUAAUAAAACUUGAGCAUGAUCACAGUUCAUAAUAAAAUCAAAUUUUUCAUCAGAGUUAAAAGCAUUAAAAGUGUUAUUCAGAACAUUAAUAUAAUUAAAAAGUUCUUCUCUUAUAUCUGAGAAAAAUUACGUCUAUUUAAAAAAUGUUGUUCUGUCUCUAUAAAAUUGUUAUUGCAGAAAAGACAAAGUCUAUCACAUAAUGGAGUGGUCGGCUUGGUGUAACGUCCGGUCUCAACCGCAAGCGGCAGCGAUCCACAUCGAAAGUUUGAUAAAAUGCGUCGAUGGUCACGAAAGUUGAUUGUUUUAACAAAUAGACUAGUUUUGCAAUUGUUUUUAAACCUUCUGAAUGUUCUAAGCUUGUUUCCAUUUACAGAAUUUUUAUCGUCAAAAACAUCAAUUAACCAUUUCUCUUGAUCUAUAGCUGUUAAUUUGUCUUGAGCCAUUCGUAGCUUUUGUUUGGUUGUUAUGUUGAGAUUGAUUAAAAAGUUCAAUUCAGAUUUUCUCAGUAAAGCUAAUACACGUGAAUGCCAUGAUCGUUGUUUUGUCUUACUAGUUUCAUGGAUAGUCCGAACUAUUCUAUCAUCCUCUAAAUUAGAAAGUUUGAAAAAUAAUCUCAUAACUUCAAUGUUCUGUUUUGUUUUAACUGUUGUCCAUUCCAUAUCUCCACGAACGGCUAGAUUGGUGGAGUUUUUAAAGGCCCCUAAAAAGUAUCUACAUGCCCUAUUUUGCACAGUUUCUAGUUGCUUAUGUUCCGAUAUACCCAGAUACUUGAUCCAUACAACAAUACAGGUUGAACAAGGUUUUCAUAUAAUUUUUCGUAUAUAUCAAAGUCCAUUCCACCACAGGCUAUAAAUUUGGUAUACAG
rnacentral:lncRNA from 1 species